rnacentral:rRNA from 1 species
UACAGAGGUCUCAAGCGUUGUUCGGAUUCAUUGGGCGUAAAGGGCUCGUAGGCGGCCAACUAAGUCAGACGUGAAAUCCCUCGGCUUAACCGGGGAACUGCGUCUGAUACUGGAUGGCUUGAGUUUGGGAGAGGGAUGCGGAAUUCCAGGUGUAGCGGUGAAAUACGUAGAUAUCUGGAGGAACACCGGUGGCGAAGGCGGCAUCCUGGACCAACACUGACGCUGAGUGAGCGAAAGCCAGGGGAGCAAACGGG